UUUCCUUUAUCCCCAAAAAGAACCCCUAAAACAUACAUCAAAUACUCACAAAGUCCCAAAAAAUAAAUUAUUACAAAACACUGCAAAAACGUUAAAAACUAAAGUAUACAACUUUUAUGUCGUCAUCCACGUAAAAGGCACCAAAAAGUCUUCUAUCGUCACUCACACCAUAAAGGGCGCCGCCACCUGAAACGCGACAAAAUAAUGAAGCUUCGAAUUAAGGUAAUCAUUCAAAACAUCCCUAUUCUAAAGCAUUCACACAUCAUUCAUACAUACACAUUAUUAUGCUAUAUCACUUAGCAACCUUCUAAACUACUCUAGAAUCCCAUGUUCGUUGCAACUAAUCAAAUGGACAUUUCAUUUCAAUAAACAACCAACUAAUGAGUGAAAUAAGUUUCCGAAAUCAAAUAAAAGUUGUUGGAAAAUAUUAACAAAGGGACUAAAAGGCCAUUUUUAAUCUUUUCACCAUUUGCACCAAGAACUUAAAAACUAUUCGUAGUACGAUAUAAAAAACAAGCUAAAAUACGAAUUUUUCGACUAAACAAUGUUGCUGGAAUUUUCUAAACAAUAGUAAAAAAUCAUGUUUUCCAAAUAGUAAUCUUUAAAAAAUAUAGAUUACUACUUGGAAUCUGAGUAACAAAACUAAUCAUGUUUUCAUCUUUAGCAACUCGUCAAUAAAAGAUAUUAACAAAGAAAAAUAGGGCAGAGUUUCUUUUUUUACCUUUCUCUUUGUCUUUGUGUUUUUAUCGCCGGCCGCAUCGCCGGCGGCGGGUCUCCCUUUUCCUAGCUGCUAGUUUUUCCCCUCUAAUAACAAAGAAAACACAAAACAAGACAACGAAGUCAAAAAAAUGAUUGAAACAAAGUUUUAGAACCCUAGAUCUACUUAUAAGUAGAUUGUGGUUUGCAUGUCGCUGGAGGACUUGACAGAGGCAUCCUCUGACACAUGCAAGCCCCGAUCCACUCAAAAUAAAAAAAAUUAAGGAGAAAAAGGCGGAUCCGAGUCUUACCUUUUUUACUCUUGGCCGGAGAGGGAAAGGCGGCGCCACCGCCG
rnacentral:lncRNA from 1 species